UCAGGACGAACGCUGGCGGCGUGCCUAAUUCAUGCAAGUCGAACGGAGAAUUUCAAGAAGUUUACUUUGAGAAAUUUUUAGUGGCGGACGGGUGAGUAACGCGUGGGUAACCUACCCAUAAACCCGGGACAACCCUUGGAAACGAGGGCUAAUACCGGAUAAUCUUUAAUGUUGGCAUCAACGUUUAAGAAAAGGUGGCCUCUGAAUAUGCUACCGAUUAUGGAUGGACCCGCGUCUGAUUAGCUAGUUGGUGGGGUAAAGGCCUACCAAGGCGACGAUCAGUAGCCGGCCUGAGAGGGUGAACGGCCACACUGGGACUGAGACACGGCCCAGACUCCUACGGGAGGCAGCAGUGGGGAAUCUUCCGCAAUGGACGAAAGUCUGACGGAGCAACGCCGCGUGUAUGAUGAAGGUCUUCGGAUUGUAAAGUACUGUCUUUGGGGAAGAACGAUGCGUUUGAAAAUAUUGAGUGCAUAUGACGGUACCCAAGGAGGAAGCCCCGGAUAACUACGUGCCAGCAGCCCCGGUAAUACGUAGGGGGCAAGCGUUGUCCGGAAUU
rnacentral:rRNA from 1 species